UACAGAGGUCUCAAGCGUUGUUCGGAUUCAUUGGGCGUAAAGGGUGCGUAGGCGGCGCGGUAAGUCGGGUGUGAAAUUUCGGAGCUUAACUCCGAAACUGCAUUCGAUACUGCGGCGCUUGAGGACUGGAGAGGAGACUGGAAUUCAUGGUGUAGCAGUGAAAUGCGUAGAGAUCAUGAGGAAGACCAGUGGCGAAGGCGGGUCUCUGGACAGUUCCUGACACUGAGACACGAAGGCCAGGGGAGCAAACGGG
rnacentral:rRNA from 1 species